GAUGAACGCUAGCUACAGGCUUAACACAUGCAAGUCGAGGGGAAACGACAUCGAAAGCUUGCUUUUGAUGGGCGUCGACCGGCGCACGGGUGAGUAACGCGUAUCCAACCUGCCCAUCACUUGGGAAUAACCUUGCGAAAGUAAGACUAAUACCCAAUGAUAUCCCACGAAGGCAUCGGAAUGGGAUUAAAGAUUUAUCGGUGAUGGAUGGGGAUGCGUCUGAUUAGCUUGUUGGCGGGGUAACGGCCCACCAAGGCAACGAUCAGUAGGGGUUCUGAGAGGAAGGUCCCCCACAUUGGAACUGAGACACGGUCCAAACUCCCACGGGAGGCAGCAGUGAGGAAUAUUGGUCAAUGGGCGAGAGCCUGAACCAGCCAAGUAGCGUGCAGGAAGACGGCCCUAUGGGUUGUAAACUGCUUUUAUAAGGGAAUAAAGUGGGUCACGUGUGACUUUUUGCAUGUACCUUAUGAAUAAGGACCGGCUAAUUCCGUG
rnacentral:rRNA from 1 species